rnacentral:rRNA from 1 species
GAUGAACGCUGGCGGCGUGCCUAAUACAUGCAAGUCGAGCGAACGGACGAGAAGCUUGCUUCUCUGAUGUUAGCGGCGGACGGGUGAGUAACACGUGGAUAACCUACCUAUAAGACUGGGAUAACUUCGGGAAACCGGAGCUAAUACCGGAUAAUAUUUUGAACCGCAUGGUUCAAAAGUGAAAGACGGUCUUGCUGUCACUUAUAGAUGGAUCCGCGCUGCAUUAGCUAGUUGGUAAGGUAACGGCUUACCAAGGCAACGAUGCAUAGCCGACCUGAGAGGGGGAUCGGCCACACUGGAACUGAGACACGGUCCAGACUCCUACGGGAGGCAGCAGUAGGGAAUCUGCCGCAAUGGGCGAAAGCCUGACGGAGCAACGCCGCGUGAGUGAUGAAGGUCUUCGGAUCGUAAAACUCUGUUAUUAGGGAAGAACAUAUGUGUAAGUAACUGUGCACAUCUUGACGGUACCUAAUCAGAAAGCCACGGCUAACUACGU